rnacentral:rRNA from 1 species
CCAGCUCCAAUAGCGUAUAUUUAAGUUGUUGCAGUUAAAAAGCUCGUAGUUGGAUCUUCGGGUGGGGGUUUCGGUCUGCCGUUCCGGCUGAUACUGUCUCCUCCAUCCUUCCUGUCGGGAACGGGCUCUGGCCUUUACUGGUCGGGGCACGGGCGCGACGACGUUACUUUGAAAAAAUUAGAGUGUUCAAAGCAGGCCACGUUCUGAAUACAUUAGCAUGGAAUAACUACAUAGGACUCUGGUCCUAUUGUGUUGGUCUCCAGGACCGGAGUAAUGGUUAACAGGGACUGUUGGGGGCAUUCGUAUUUCAUUGUCAGAGGUGAAAUUCUUGGAUUUAUGAAAGACGAACUACUGCGAAAGCAUUUGCCAAGGAUGUCUUCG